rnacentral:rRNA from 1 species
UGGGGAAUAUUGCACAAUGGGGCGCAAGCCUGAUGCAGCGACGCCGCGUGAAGGAUGAAGGUCUUCGGAUCGUAAACUUCUAUCAGCAGGGAAGAAACCAUGACGGUACCUGACUAAGAAGCCCCGGCUAACUACGUGCCAGCAGCCGCGGUAAUACGUAGGGGGCAAGCGUUAUCCGGAAUUACUGGGUGUAAAGGGUGCGUAGGCGGCGAUUUAAGUCAGAUGUGAAAACUCAGGGCUUAACCUUGAGACUGCAUCUGAAACUGAGUUGCUAGAGUGCAGGAGAGGAAAGCGGAAUUCCGAGUGUAGCGGUGAAAUGCGUAGAGAUUCGGAGGAACACCAGUGGCGAAGGCGGCUUUCUGGACUGUAACUGACGCUGAGGCACGAAAGCGUGGGGAGCGAACAGGAUUAGAUACCCUGGUAGU